rnacentral:rRNA from 1 species
UUUUGCAUACUAAUGAAAUUUUUUUUAUUUUUUAAUAAUAAUUUAAUUUUUAUAUUUAAUUUUUUUUUUUUUUUAAUGUUAAAAAUUAAAAUUUAAGAAAAAGUGAUUUUUGAUAAAAUGUAUAAAAAAAUAAAAGUUUUUUUUUUUAUUAUUUUUUUAAUUUAAUUUUUUUUAAUUUAAUUUUUAUAUUUUUUAUUUUUUUUUUAUUAUUAAUUUUUUAUUAGUUUGUUUUUUAUUGUUAAUUUUUAUUUUAAUUCGUUUUAAUAAUAAAUUUUUUUUAAAUAAUUAGUAAAUUUUAUUUUUAAUUUUUAAUUACUGUUAUUUGAUUUUUAAAAGGCACCUUUAGCGUGAUUGGUCUAAGGUAGCAAAAUAAUUAGUUUUUUUAUUGAAUUCGGGUAUGAAGUAUUUUUAUUUUUUAUUUUUUUUUUUUUUUUUUGAAUUUUUUAAAAAUUAAAAAUUAUUUUUUUUUUAUAAAACUAAGAUAAGUCUUUAGAAAUUUAUUUUUUUUUUUUUUUUGGGAUAAAAUUUUAUUUAAUUUUUUUAACUUUUUUAAUAAUAAAAAUUUCUCUAGAGUUAACAGGAUUUUUUACAUCGAUGUUGUUUUUUAUUUAUUUUUAGUUUUUUUUUAGGAAAUUUUUUUAUUUCAGACUGUUCUUCUUUUUUUUAAACGUGAAAUUAGUUUAGUUCGACGAAAGUUAGAGCUGUUUAUCUAGUUUAUUUUUUUUUUUUUUUGAAAAA